rnacentral:rRNA from 1 species
CACGUAGGGCGCAAGCGUUGUCCGGAAUUAUUGGGCGUAAAGAGCUCGUAGGCGGUCCGUUGCGUCCGCUGUGAAAACUCGGGGCUUAACCCCGAGCCUGCAGUGGAUACGGGCAGACUAGAGGUAGGUAGGGGAGAAUGGAAUUCCCGGUGUAGCGGUGAAAUGCGCAGAUAUCAGGAGGAACACCGGUGGCGAAGGCGGGUCUCUGGGCAGUAACUGACGCUGAGGAGCGAAAGCGUGGGGAGCGAACAGG